rnacentral:rRNA from 1 species
UACGUAGGGUCCGAGCGUUAAUCGGAAUUACUGGGCGUAAAGCGUACGUAGGCGGCUGCUUAAGUCAGAUGUGAAAUCCCCGGGCUCAACCUGGGAACUGCGUUUGAUACUGGGCAGCUUGAGACAGAUAGAGGAAAGUAGAAUUCUCGCAAGUAGUGGUGAAAUGCGUAGAUAUGCGGAGGAAUACUCGUGGCGAAGGCGGCUUUCUGGAUCAUGUCUGACGCUGAAGUACGAAAGCGUGGGUAGCAAACAGG